AGAGUUUGAUCAUGGCUCAGGACGAACGCUGGCGGCGCGCCUAACACAUGCAAGUCGAACGAGCGAGAGAGAGCUUGCUUUCUCAAGCGAGUGGCGAACGGGUGAGUAACGCGUGAGGAACCUGCCUCAAAGAGGGGGACAACAGUUGGAAACGACUGCUAAUACCGCAUAAGCCCACGACCCGGCAUCGGGUAGAGGGAAAAGGAGCAAUCCGCUUUGAGAUGGCCUCGCGUCCGAUUAGCUAGUUGGUGAGGUAAUGGCCCACCAAGGCGACGAUCGGUAGCCGGACUGAGAGGUUGAACGGCCACGAUUGGGACUGAGACACGGCCCAGACUCCUACGGGAGCA
rnacentral:rRNA from 1 species